rnacentral:lncRNA from 1 species
AAUGAGUUGUUCUGAUUAAAGCGGGUUAUUCUGAAUUGUUCUCAAACAACACAUUAAAAAUUAUUCCUAGAAAAAUUGAAAACAACUUUAUUCUUCUCUUUAUUUUAUUAGAUAAAUAGAUAUAUAUAAAUAAAUAUAUUAAUAUAAAUAUUAUUUUUAUGAUAAUAUAUUUAUACUUAAAUUUUAUUAUAUAAUACUAGUUAAGUGCACGUGCAAUGCACGUCGCACAAAUACUAAAAAAUAAAAUUUUUAUAAAUAAAUAUUAUAGAUUCGAUAUAUAAUAUUUAAUCAUUACCAAAAUAAAAUACCAGAAAUAAGAAAUAGAAUUACGAUAUCAUCAAAGAAAGAACACAAAAUUUAUCAUGGUAUCAUUGAAAAAAAAACACAAAAUUCGUCACUAAACUAACUGAAAAUGUCACCAUCAAGUCUCCCUUCCGUACAAAUUGCACUGAAAGUAUGAAAGUAAGAAAAAUAAUAAGUAAAUAUUAGUAAAUCAUCAGAAUAGAUAAAAUUAAUAAAAAAUAUAAAUUUAAUAAGAAUUCAUAUAAGUAAAUAAAAAUUUUUAACUUAAUUUUAUUUCUUGAGUUUUUGGAAUAGAUAGAUUAAGCACAAUUUUACUCGCAAAACUUUGCUAAAUAAAUUGAUCCUGAUAAAUAAAUUUAAAAUAAUAUAGAAAAAAUAAAAUAUUAAAAAGUACAUUUAUCCUAAUUAUCGAUAUUAACGUGCACUGUUUUAAUACAACAACUGAAUUGUUUGCAAUAGCGUCUCUCUACAUGCCAAUGUAUGUUAGCACUAUCUUGUCCUAGAGAAUCAAUCUAAUUCGAUUUAUACUUCAAUCCAUCCAAAUAAUUAGUUAUUAAUAAUUUUUUCAUGCCAAUGUAUGUUAACACUAUCUUGUCCUAAAUGAUCAAUCUAAUUCGAUUCAUACUUUAAUUUAUCCAAAUAAUUAGUUAUUAAUAAUUUUUUUCAUUGAAAUGAUAAAAAGCGAAACACUUUACCUUUACGUUUAGAACGAUUAACAACAUACAAAUAAAGAGUAAUUGAUUUNAAUUAGUUAUUAAUAAUUUUUUUCAUUGAAAUGAUAAAAAGCGAAACACUUUACCUUUACGUUUAGAACGAUUAACAACAUACAAAUAAAGAGUAAUUGAUUUGGACAAUCAUUCGUACAACAUCUAAGAAAACUGAAAUAGUAUAGAAAUUAGUAGUAGUAUAGAAGGUGGCGAAGGCGACAAUGUGUCGGCUCGAUGACGACUAUAACGAUGGGAAAGAUGAUGACGAUGUGUUGGUACCGACAAUGGGGACAAAUGAGAAAUAACAUUACUAAAAAAAUAUUUGAGAAUAUUUAAGAAAAAUAUAGGUAAAAAUGAAAAAGAAUAUUACUAAAUAAAUAUAUGUUUUAUAUGUGAAAAACAUAUAGGUAAAAAUGAGAAAAUACUAAAAAGAUAUGCUAAAACAGUAUAAAGGCAAAUUCAGAUGAAAUCAAAAUACCUCUCUAACUAUGGCAAAGGCGAUAAUGUAUCGACGCAAGUGAUGUGAUGAUGUAUCGGUGUCGACGACGAAGAUAAAUAAAAAAGGAUAUUAUUAAAAAAAUAUUUGAGAAUAUUUAAGAAAAAUAAUAGUAAAAAUGAAAAAAAAUUAUUACUAAAAAAAAUAUACUUUUUAUUUGUGAAAUAUAUAGGUAAAAAUGAGAAAUACUAAAAAAAUACUAAAAUAGUAUAAAGGCAUAUUAAAAAAAGAGAAAUUUUCAGAUGGGAUCAAAAUA